rnacentral:lncRNA from 1 species
UGGUGAGAAAGUUGAGAGUAUUUUUGAAUAUAUUUAUUUGUGUCAUAUUAAAAUAAAAAAUCUUAAUAAAAUAAUUAUACUUUUCUCAUUGUUUUAAUUAUGCCAGUUUCGUUUGUUGUUUUUUGUCAACAAUGGCCAUGUGUUGACAGCUUGGGUGUCCAUUGAACCUUGUUGUUUUGAUUAAAAUUAGUAUGGUAUUGAUUGCUUCUUUAUUGUUUGAAUUGGCAUUAUGGAUUUUAAUUAAUCUUAAAAAUGUAUGCAUGAAAGGUCACCCAAGCCAUAAAACUGCCAUUGUUUACCUUGAUUAUGACCUACUUACCUGUACCCACGUGUGAAAACUGUUCACCGAUAAGUCAGAAAAAAAUUAAUUAAAUCAAUCUUAAGAAUUUUAUUGUUGUCUAUAAAAUAAAAGUUGAAGUUCUGAAAGUAACAAACAUUUUUCAAUUUUAAUUUGAAUAAAUACCACAUACAAAAC